rnacentral:rRNA from 1 species
GACAGAGGGUGCAAACGUUGUUCGGAAUUAUUGGGCGUAAAGAGCUUGUAGGCGGUCUGUCGCGUCUGCUGUGAAAAUCCGGGGCUCAACCCCGGACUUGCAGUGGGUACGGGCAGACUAGAGUGUGGUAGGGGAGACUGGAAUUCCUGGUGUAGCGGUGAAAUGCGCAGAUAUCAGGAGGAACACCGAUGGCGAAGGCAGGUCUCUGGGCCACUACUGACGCUGAGAAGCGAAAGCAUGGGGAGCGAACAGG